UGUGGACAAUUUUAUAAUCCUUAUAGACUGAAAAAGGCAUGGUUACCCAUAUUAAGUAAGCAUUUCUGCAUGUGUACGAAAAAUUUCAUGGAUAACAUUUAGUUUUCGACUAACGUAAUUCACAUUCUAAACGUCUGAAGUAACGGAUAUUUAUUUGCCGGCAAUUUUGUCAUUUUUAGCGGGCAAAUUAAUCUAACUACGAGAGAGCGAGCCAGAAUCCUAAUCAGGUUGAAAUUCACAGAACUGUUUAAAUCCGUCUAUUAGUUUUUAUAAACAUUUAAAUCUCACACAUUCAAAUUGAUCAUUCAAAUGAAUUCCCCAUUCGAUUGUCCUUGAGGAGAGAGAUAUAUAAAUCAUUACAACCGAUUCUUCCGCUAAAAAAGCAAAAUAUAUAUCCAAUAAGAAUUCAAUAAAUAAAUCCUCUUUAAAAUGUUGACAGUGAUCAAUGACUGAUCAAGGAAUAAUAGCGUCGUAUUGUAGCGACAUGUUGCGUUAAAGUCGCCACAGAUAAUGGUAUAUCCAUUAUUUUGCAUGGUUACAAUCCAAUUGUUAAAGUAAAUUUUUGAAAAAUAAAACUUAUCCUUUCGACUCAUUUGGUAGGAGCCGCUAGCAAUUGGCUACACAUAACACAAAAAGAUGUUCUACUUUUUAUAUGAAUCCAAAGAAUACCUCCCAAACUUUUACGCAGCC
rnacentral:lncRNA from 1 species